UACUUUACUUUGUCGCUCUCAUGUAAAGGCAGAUGGACCAUGUGGAUUUUCCAGCCCUGUAUAUUAUUUACUUAGAUUUAGUAAAGUUUGCCUAUUCACAUACACAUAUUAAUAUUUAACAAACCAUGCAAGAAAUAUUAAUUUUCUAAAAACACUUGAAUUUUUUUUAAAUAUUUGGCAUUUCUUAUAUAUUGUCAGAAAAACAUGGUGAUUUUAAAAUAAGAUGAUGCAAAACCAUACAAAAGCAGUUUGUUUUUACGAAAUUAUUUCCAUUGAAGUUUCAUUCUGUACCAUUCUGUCAGUUUCAGACAGUUGGUUUAAAAAAAGUAACAACAUGCAACAAUGAUGCGGGUUAACAUCAAAGUUCCCUCUAAGCUGCGCGGGUGUGCAGCCAUUCACUAAUUUUCCGAAAGUUGCGUAGCCAUCUUUGUAUUCUGCGCACAAUGGGCUUCUUUGCCAUUUUUUUAAAUUUCAUUUUAUAAAAGAAUUGCAUCUAAAAACGGCAAAAACCCAAAUUUCACAAAAAGUAAAAAUUAAGAGGGUCAAAAAAAUUUUUGAAAUCGACGUUUGACAUUUAAACGUAAAAUGAAAAUGUCAUUCAAACAUAGUAGAUCUUGCCCCUAAUAAAGAAAGAAUAUUCACACUUGCACACUUUUACGUUUUGAACAUUUUUGCUCCCAUUUAUUUUUGUACCAUGUAGUCAACGAAAAAAUUUGAGGGAACAUUGGUUCACAUACAACCCAAAUCAGAAGCUGUCCAGUUACAGCAUAGAUAAGAAUUUGAAUGUAGUUUAAAAAAUAAAUAAAUAAUAAUUUUGUAGUAGUUCUCUGGGGAUAAUAUACUAUUACCCUUAAAGAACUGACCCCCAUUUAAAGAUACACACUGUAUAACACUUACAUUUUCACCGGCUAUCACUGAUGUGCAUCUUAGAAUUUUAAAUAUUUAUUAUCUUGAUCAGUCUCAAAUAUCAGCUUUCAUAGAUAAUUAUUUUUUGCAGAUAUUUGACCUUUUUGCUUAUUUGCUGUUUUAAAAAUAAACUUUCUUAAUGAGAUUUAUUUACAGUUUAAAGGUGAUUUGUAUAUACUUUUUAAAAAUAUUGAAGUAAUUAACCAUUUUGUUAGAUGGUGGGUGGCUCAAAAAAUUUAUGUAGUGUGUCUAAAACAUGUAGAGUGGGUUAAUUUUUGUCUAAUUAAAAACUGAAUACGUCACUAAACAUAAAAAUUUUUUAAAAUGGGGUGUCACUCAACCUGCUUUACAAUUUACACCUGUUUGUAGUGUCGUAGCUAAGGCCAUGAGUGCCUAGGGCAAGAUUUGAAUUUUGCGCCCCCCAAAACUUAUUUUGUAGGAAGGGAAAUAAUACAAUAACAGGCUGCGAGUCCGCGAGGGCGUUCCCUUGAGAUUUGCACCCCUGGCAGCCUCUAGCUACGAUGCUGCUUGUUUGCACCAAAAUUAAUAAGCAUUUCUUAACAAUAAGAUAUUUUUAAGAGGGCUUAAUUUAUUGCAUUGUUUGCUACGCUAUUUUUAAGUAUGAAAACAUUUGCUCAAAUCUAAAUCUCCAAUUAAAGACUACGUACAUAAGAUGUUCCUUAAUCAAAUAAAUUUAUCAAGCCUUUUCAGAGCAUGAAGAAACUUACCAACAUCACGGGAUGGGCAAAAUUAUACUUAAAUUAGGUGCAGCGUUCCAGUUAUACAUUGUUGUGGCCCAUUAAGAACCAGGACACCCCACCAAAAAGUUUUUAGAAGAAAUUUUUGGGUCGAUCAAUUUAGGGGUUUUUAAAUCUUAAAACCAAUUUUUUUUAUAUAUUUUUGUACAGGCAGUUUUAAAUGUUUGAAAUUUAGUUUUUUUUAAGUAAAAAUUUAGGAUGUUUUGGGAAUGUUUGAAAUGUUGGUUAUAACUAAAAUAAAAAACUAAAAAACAGAA